CGUGGGGGCGGCGGGCGGGCGCAGUUCGCAGCCCCUGCAGAUGCCCGCACGCUCCGCGGCUCCACGCUCGGGGCACGUCACGGAGAAGCCCGUCUCCAGCUCCGCUCAGCUCUUACCGAGCUGCUAUGGCUUACCUCUUUCGUGUCCAAUUAAGAUGUCUUUAUGGUUGAAAUAUUCUACUUCUUCAGUGUAAUUCUGUGUAUAGGCAGUAUUGGAGCCGGCGUUUCUAGAUUCGGUCCAGCGUACUUUCGCAUGUCCUCUCGCAUGAAUUUUAAGAGAUUUCACUCUGAUUUCCCCCGUAACUUCUAAAUUCACCCUUCCUGAGACGGUAUCCCCACUAGAAUACACGGGGACGUUGCUGUCAUGAAGACAGUCAAAGCUUAUGGUCAAACUCUUCACCUUUCCCAGCACCAUGUUUAUAACAAAAAUCUAUAAAAAUAUAAUGUCAGACCAAGAAAAAAAAGUCAAGAUCGCAUAUAAAAUGUGAUCUCCAC